GAUGAACGCUAGCGGCAGGCCUAAUACAUGCAAGUCGAGGGGUAAGGCUCUUUCGGGAGUACACGACCGGCGCACGGGUGCGUAACGCGUAUGCAACCUACCUUUAACAGGGGGAUAGCCCGAAGAAAUUCGGAUUAAUACCCCAUAACAUUGCGAUAUGGCAUCAUAUUGUAAUUAAAACUCCGGUGGUUAAAGAUGGGCAUGCGUGACAUUAGCUUGUUGGUGAGGUAACGGCUCACCAAGGCUUCGAUGUCUAGGGGUUCUGAGAGGAUGAUCCCCCACACUGGUACUGAGACACGGACCAGACUCCUACGGGAGGCAGCAGUAAGGAAUAUUGCGCAAUGGAGGCAACUCUGACGCAGCCAUGCCGCGUGCAGGAAGAAGGCUUUAUGAGUCGUAAACUGCUUUUAUAUGGGAAUAAACUCUCGUUCGUGAACGGGACUGCAGGUACCAUAAGAAUAAGCACCGGCUAACUCCGUGCCAGCAGCCGCGGUAAUACGGAGGGUGCAAGCGUUAUCCGGAUUCAUUGGGUUUAAAGGGUGCGCAGGCGGACCUGUUAGUCAGUGGUGAAAUCCCGGGGCUCAACUCCGGAACUGCCAUUGAUACUGCAGGUCUUGAAUACGGUUGAAGUAGGCGGAAUGUAGCAUGUAGCGGUGAAAUGCAUAGAUAUGCUACAGAACACCGAUCGCGAAGGCAGCUUACUAAGCCGAUAUUGACGUUCAGGCACGAAAGCGUGGGUAGCGAACAGGAUUAGAUACCCUGGUAGUCCACGCCGUAAACGAUGAUCACUCGUUGUUGGCGAUACACAGUCAGUGACUAAGGGAAACCGAUAAGUGAUCCACCUGGGGAGUACGAUCGCAAGGUUG
rnacentral:rRNA from 1 species